GUCACUUUUUAACUAAAGGGGGACAAGCUUUUUUCUUUGGAUUGGUGGUCUUCUAUGAUUUUGCAUAUGAAAGGGGGAGAAUCUGGUAAAUAAAUCAGGCAUGGUAGCAAGUUUCAUGAAAGAUAGUAAUUUCAAGUGUGCCUAAUUGCCAGUAAUAUAUCACAUACAUUUUCUGUUACUGUAUUUUAGGUUACAAAUGGGAAGACCAUAAUAUUGAAGAACAUUGUCAGAGCUGUAGAAGAAAUGGAAGCAGGUGUGUCAUCUGUCACUCUGGAUACAAUCCAUGUGAGCAGAAGGGACAUGGAAAGAAGCAUUGUACUUCUGUCUCUCUCAGAACAAAUGGAAGAUAUGUGGUAGUCCCCACUAUGAGAAGACAUGAUGACUGUGAUAGAAGUUUACAAUUAACUGGUUUUCCAAAUUCAGUGGAAAUUCAGCAACAAACUCUCAUUAGAGAAAAUGAGUACCAGGAAUAUGGAAAUUCCUCUCUCUCUGCUGGUUCACUGUGCACAUGUAGUGUGGCUCACAGUAUAAGAAAAUGUUAUGAAUGCAGUCAUUGUGGUCCAACUCUGAGUUCUUCAAGUUCUCUUCAAAGAUGUGAACAAACUCAUUUGUUAAGAGAAAAUAAUAAAUGUGAGUCAUCUAC